UAGGGAAUCUUCGGCAAUGGGGGCAACCCUGACCGAGCAACGCCGCGUGAGUGAAGAAGGUUUUCGGGUCGUAAAGCUCUGUUGUAAGAGAAGAACGUGUGUGAGAGUGGAAAGUUCACACAGUGACGGUAACUUACCAGAAAGGGACGGCUAACUACGUGCCAGCAGCCGCGGUAAUACGUAGGUCCCGAGCGUUGUCCGGAUUUAUUGGGCGUAAAGCGAGCGCAGGCGGUUUUAUAAGUCUGAAGUUAAAGGCAGUGGCUUAACCAUUGUUCGCUUUGGAAACUGUUAAACUUGAGUGCAGAAGGGGAGAGUGGAAUUCCAUGUGUAGCGGUGAAAUGCGUAGAUAUAUGGAGGAACACCGGUGGCGAAAGCGGCUCUCUGGUCUGUAACUGACGCUGAGGCUCGAAAGCGUGGGGAGCAAACAGG
rnacentral:rRNA from 1 species